rnacentral:sRNA from 2 species
ACCUAUAAAUCGCUGAAUUAUUCUUGAGCGGGGGAACCAAUUUAUUGGGGUGAAUCUUACGUUUGUAAGAAGGGAUACUCUUUAGUCCCUAAUCCGACAGCUAACCUCGUAAGCGUUAUGAAGAGGAGGG